rnacentral:tRNA from 1 species
GCCUGGGUGGCUCAGUCGGUUGAGCAUCUGACUUCGGCUCAGGUUAUGAUCUCACAGUUUGAGUUCGAGCCCCACAUCGGGCU